AAUACUAUUAACGUUAGCUGUUUACGAUAACCGUCAAAUAAAAUUUACUUGAAAUUUGUGAAACAGAUCCUCAGUGAUAUUCUUUAAGGUCCAGAGUAUUUCAUUGUUAAAAUGUUUCUUAUUAGUCGUUAAUCCUUUUGUUUGUUGUCAAAAAUGGAAAAAGGUGUGCGGUUUGUAGCUUUCCAUAAUCUACAAUAUUAUGUAUUUCUAUGAAUGGAUUUAUUAAUACCAAAGGAACAGCUCUCAAUUGACGGUUAUAUCAGAGGCCAGAUGCAUAAGGCCGUAUUGCUGGACAAGGCAAGCAUAGUGAGAAGAUUCCUCACUUUGAAUCCCUAACCGCCGGUGACUUGGGUCUUGAGCUUCGCCAUAAGAUGGUUGGUGACGUGAAAACAGGUCCUCAGAAGGCAUCGCACAUCACCCCUCUUAUAAGCUCGAGGCCCCAGGCGGUUCCUCGGUUCGCGAAUAGGGCGUCACUAGGUACUCGAAAUUGAAACAAUGCAAUAAAAUCCAAAGUCGUAGAUGAUUUAUAAAAUUGACGAUCCAUCCUAAGGAAAUAUUAAUAUCAAUUUCUGCUUAAAAGACGAGUUACAGGUUGCCUUUAUAAAAAGUAUGUAGAACGUACAAAAUAUAUUAGGUACAUUUAAGUGUACCUAAUAUAUUUAGAAUUUUUGAUAUUAGUUUUUAACUAAGCUCUGUUAGGUACCUUAAUACAUUACCAAAAACCUUGUCGAAUUUGUACUUAUAUAAGUUCUAGCUGCGGCUUUGUCUCAGUAAAUAUAAGUACUAAAAAUAGUAUUUAUGCAUUUGGCACGCAAACAUACUAGAAGUACAUAUUCAUAUUGUAUCCGAACUUCAUCACUUCGUUUGGUUUUUUGGCACAACUAUCCGGAACACAUUUGAACACGUAAAACGCGUUACAUAAUGUACAUGAAUAUCAAAUGUUUGGUUAUCGAAUAUACAACGUAUGUAACUGAGAAAUGCCGUGGGCUUCAACGAUUAUAUUCAAAGAUACCAAUUUUCAAUUAUGUUUAAUUAAAUUUACUGGAGAAGAAAUAGAUACAUCGUUUGAACUUAGUUCUAAACUAUAUAAUUACGUUAUAAUAUGGUAUACAUUAAAUAUACUAUGGCAACAUUUUUAUAAACUUUUUAAUUAUCAGUGGCCCAAAAUAUAUAUUUUUUCGCCAUUCAAACGCACCUUUAUUUUCCAAGCCGCAUUCGCUCACUGUCCUGAACAUGCGCCACAGAGAAUAAGCACUACGUACUUUCGUACAGUCUCCUUCAUUCCCUUAUUGGUGAGGAUCGUGACCUCGACAGGCGACAGUCAUCGAACUUCAAUUCCGAUCUACGGAGAAUGUUGUACGACACAGCCCUGUGACCUUGAAGUAUUUUUGUAAGGUUUCGCAUAUUUCAAUUUAUGUAUACGCCUUUUAUCCCCCAAGAAAAUCGAAGAAGUACAAUAAAAACACCUAUUUUUUACCAAAAUAUUGGGAUUUUUAAUGACAAACUUUCAUAAAAAAUAUGUUGAUUGCCCAGCCUGAUAAUUACAUACAGCACAACACGGUUCACAGUUGAUGUGUUGUCACUAAACAAUAAAGGACACAUUUAAAGCAUAAAGAAUUCUAUGUCCAAUAUCUUACAGACUACUUACUAACGAAUAUGGUCUUUAAUAACCCCACAAUUUUUUGUUGCAUUUAUUCAUAAAUCGUUAUACCUAUUUGUUAUAUCAUUAGGAUAUCAUGAAUUCAUGAAUUAUAAACGUACAUGGGACAAUCGGUGAAACUAAUUAAAUAAAUGUAUUAGCGAUUCAAUUUUACUACUUUUUAGGUCUCAUAAUUUGCACAACGUAGCCUCAAUACAUAUCUACUCUCGAUAUGUCAUUUCCAGUAAAUGAAAUCGUUGAUAUAACGCAUAGAUCAAUAAUUUCAUCAUAGUUACAUUAUUUACAUAAACUGGUUUGUGCUCGUACGUUUAGAACAAUGAACUAGUGUCGUACAAUAGAUACUUUCACCUUUGAGCCCAAUGUAUCAUCUAUGGCUAAAUUAUAUAGGGUGUUUUAUUAGAUCUGAUCAGAAUAUUUUUUUUUAGUUUAGUCGGAUAUUCUGACAAAACAUUAAUGGAAAUUCUUUCGCGACAUUAUUAUUAUUAUUAUAUACCCUCGAUCACUCUGGCUAUUCGUCGGAAAAUAAGUUCCUGAAAAUCUUACACUCUACAAGACCGCAGUUCUGUCUUCGCGGUCCCCGUCCCCGUGCCCUUCUAAAAGUUCCUGCCCGCGUUCCGAAGAAUACGGUAAUAGAUAGAUUGUUUAGUACGCUCAACCCUAAUCACUGAUGCCGUGUUGCUAGUUGACUGAUAUGUGGGUUGCUCUCAGCAUGGUCGCUUAAUUUUCAAGGGUUGCGAGCGCCUAAAGCCCGGUGUGUUUGUAUAAGCCGGCCCUCGUCAGGCUUACAAACUUAAGACAUAUACAAAAAAACAGUAUACUCAAAUGAUAAGGACGAGAAUAUUAUAACAUACAAAAGUUUAUUCAAAUGCAAUCUUUAUAAAUUUGUCACGCAGACUUUAAUAGUUGCAUGUUUGCAAUUUGUAGCCUUGACAACUCGUAAUAGAUUGUUAAAUAAGCUAUUUGCUUUUAAAUGUUCAGGAUAUAUUUUGGAAUAAGAAAAAAAAAUGAUGCAAUUAGGCGUUUACAUUGCAUUACAAAAUGUUACGCAAUCGAGUAAUUAAAGCUUUCGCAUUACUAAAUGUAAAUAAAUAAAUUGCUUUGACAAAACGGCACGUGAUUGGUAAUUUAUUAUUGGAUUUUAUUGACUCGUGUAUGUACCAGUUGUUCCCACUGUGUCGACCCAACGCCGGCCCUGGAAUACAUAGCGACUUUCCGGUACCUAGUAGUAAAAGGUUGUAGUAUCAUGUUUUGACAUAUACGAUAAAUCAAAGUGCAAUAGAGAGAGAAUAAGAGAUUAGCUUCUGAAAACCUACAUUUCAUUACAUCCUAAGCGGCGAUAGCCUAGUUGGUUGUGAAACGGACUGCCGAGGCGAAUGUCCGCAGGUUCAAA
rnacentral:lncRNA from 1 species